GGCUGCAGUAUAUUGACUGUACAAAGGUAGCAUAAUCAUUAGUUUCUUAAUUAGAAGCUGGAAUGAAUGGUUUGAUGAAAAAUUAACUGUCUUANAUUAGAUGGUUUAGAAUUUUAUUUUUAAGUGAGAAAGCUUAAAUUUUUUAGAAAGACGAGAAGACCCUAUAGAGUUUUAUGUUUAUAAAGUAAGAUGUUUAAGGUUUUUUAUUAUGUUUUAUUUUUUAGGGCAUUUUGUUGGGGUGACAUAAAAAUUUGUUUAACUUUUUAUUAUUUUUACAUUGAUUAAUGAUUUUUUGAUCCUAUUUUUUAGAUUAUAAGAUUAAAUUACCUUAGGGAUAACAGCGUAAUUUUUUCUGAAAGUUCUUAUUGAUGAAGAAGUUUGCGACCUCGAUGUUGGAUUAAAAUUUAUUUUUGGUGUAGCAGCUGAAAUAUUAGGUCUGUUCGACCUUUAAAAUUUUACGUGAUCUGAGUCAGGAACCGG
rnacentral:rRNA from 1 species